rnacentral:rRNA from 1 species
UACGGGAGGCAGCAGUGGGGAAUAUUGCACAAUGGGCGCAAGCCUGAUGCAGCCAUGCCGCGUGUAUGAAGAAGGCCUUCGGGUUGUAAAGUACUUUCAGCGGGGAGGAAGGCGAUGCGGUUAAUAACCGCGUCGAUUGACGUUACCCGCAGAAGAAGCACCGGCUAACUCCGUGCCAGCAGCCGCGGUAAUACGGAGGGUGCAAGCGUUAAUCGGAAUUACUGGGCGUAAAGCGCACGCAGGCGGUCUGUUAAGUCAGAUGUGAAAUCCCCGGGCUUAACCUGGGAACUGCAUUUUGAAACUGGCAGGCUUGAGUCUUGUAGAGGGGGUAGAAUUCCAGGUGUAGCGGUGAAAUGCGUAGAGAUCUGGAGGAAUACCGGUGGCGAAGGCGGCCCCUGGGACAAGACUGACGCUCAGGUGCGAAAGCGUGGGGAGCAAACAGGGAUUAGAUACCCGU